UUGCAAUGUCCAGAAUUUGUUAAUGGUAAACACUUAUUUUAUGACCUAUACAAGGCACAAAAUGAAAGUGCAAUGUAGGUUCAAAAAAGUACAAGUCGGCUUACGCAUACGCGCACACAAAAAAUUCAAUAAAAAGAGAACGUCUUACGAUACAACAAACACUUGACUCACAGACAAGGAUGAAGGAUAGGAAGGAAAAAAAAGAGCACACCACAAAGCAAAAAGGUUACAAAAGGAGUGUUACUUGUGGCCUAUAUUUAUUAACCUACUAGUAAUACAUAGGCCAUAUUUUGCUCCUCAGUCUACGAGGUAUUAGCAGCCAUUUCCAACUAUUGUUCCCCCUUCCUUUCAACGCGAUACUCACCCAUCCGCCACUAAACUUACUGUUUUGACAACUCAAUUGUCUUAGACCAAGCUGGCCUAGCCAAAAUAUCAGCAACCCAAGCGCUAACAUGAGGCCUAGCAUCGAACAAGCUCUUCACUUUACUCCCCGACAAGUAGUGCAAAGACGGGGCGUGGUGCAAAUCAGCUAGGGUGAAACUCUCACCACCCAAAUAUUUCGAUUCCUUGAGUCUAGAUUCAUACACAUCAAGAAGUUUCCCGAGUUUCUCUUCGUUCUCUGCCACGACUGCAUCAUCAGUCACCAUGCCCAACAUUGGCUUAAUGACAAUCUCAAACCCUAGUUUUGAACCAAUGGGGUCGAAUUUCUGGGCUUCUACUUCCAUCCAUACAGACAUGACUGCCAUUUUCUUUGGGUCAUUGGGUAAAAGUUGGUUCCCUUUGUCUGCAUAUGUGUGAGCUAUGUAUUGUGUAAUAGCUCUUGACUCAAAAAGCUUUAAAUCUCCAUCUUCAAAAGCUGGAACUUGACCAAACGGAUUUAGAGAAAUGAAUGGUUCCUUUUUGUGAUCACCAGCUUGCAUAUUAACAGGAACAAGUUCAAAAUCAAGAUCUUUCUCUUUGAGUGUAGCUACGACUCUCAUAACAGCAGGGGACAUCAUAGGGCCAUGAACCUUGAUCGCCAUUUUUGUUUUCUAGAGAGAGAAAGUGAAAGUAGAAAAUGAAAUUUGUGUGUGAGAUGUGAG
rnacentral:misc_RNA from 1 species